GAUGAACGCUAGCGGCAGGCUUAAUACAUGCAAGUCGAGGGGCAGCAUGAAUGUAGCAAUACAUCUGAUGGCGACCGGCAAACGGGUGCGGAACACGUACACAACCUUCCUAUAAGUGGGGAAUAGCCCAGAGAAAUUUGGAUUAAUACCCCGUAACAUAAUGAUAUGGCAUCAUAUUAUUAUUAUAGCUACGGCGCUUAUUGAUGGGUGUGCGGCUGAUUAGAUAGUUGGCGGGGUAACGGCCCACCAAGUCUACGAUCAGUAGCUGAUGUGAGAGCAUGAUCAGCCACACGGGCACUGAGACACGGGCCCGACUCCUACGGGAGGCAGCAGUAAGGAAUAUUGGUCAAUGGACGCAAGUCUGAACCAGCCACGCCGCGUGAAGGAUUAAGGUCCUCUGGAUUGUAAACUUCUUUUAUCUGGGACGAAAAAAGGCGAUUCUUCGUCACUUGACGGUACCAGAUGAAUAAGCACCGGCUAACUCCGUGCCAGCCGCCGCGGUAAAAC
rnacentral:rRNA from 1 species